rnacentral:rRNA from 1 species
GAUGAACGCUGGCGGCGUGCUUAACACAUGCAAGUCGAACGAAGCUCCUGAUCUUGAGAUUUCGGUCAAGAGAGAGGGAUGACUUAGUGGCGGACGGGUGAGUAAUGCGUGAGCAACCUGCCCUUCAGAGGGGGACAACAGUUGGAAACGACUGCUAAUACCGCAUAAUGUAUCGAGAAGGCAUCUUUUUGAUACCAAAGAUUUAUCGCUGAAGGAUGGGCUCACGUCUGAUUAGCUAGUUGGUGAGGUAAUGGCUCACCAAGGCUGCGAUCAGUAGCCGGACUGAGAGGUUGACCGGCCACAUUGGGACUGAGAUACGGCCCAGACUCCUACGGGAGGCAGCAGUGGGGAAUAUUGCGCAAUGGGGGCAACCCUGACGCAGCAAACGCCGCGUGAGUGAGGAAGGUUUUCGGACUGUAAAGCUCUGUCGGAGCGGGAAGAAGUGUACCAUGGCUAAUAUCCAUGAUU